rnacentral:rRNA from 1 species
ACUUGGAUAACCGUGGUAAUUCUAGAGCUAAUACAUGCUGAAAAUCCCGACUUCGGAAGGGAUGUGUUUAUUAGAUAAAAAACCAAUGCCCUUCGGGGCUCCUUGGUGAUUCAUGAUAACUUUACGGAUCGCAUAGCCUUGCGCUGGCGACGGUUCAUUCAAAUUUCUGCCCUAUCAACUUUCGAUGGUAAGGUAUUGGCUUACCAUGGUUUCAACGGGUAACGGGGAAUUAGGGUUCGAUUCCGGAGAGGCAGCCUGAGAAACGGCUACCACAUCCAAGGAAGGCAGCAGGCGCGCAAAUUACCCAAUCCCGACACGGGGAGGUAGUGACAAUAAAUACUGAUACAGGGCUCUUUUGGGUCUUGUAAUUGGAAUGAGUACAAUUCAAAUCUCUUAACGAGGAACAAUUGGAGGGCAAGUCUGGUGCCAGCAGCCGCGGUAAUUCCAGCUCCAAUAGCGUAUAUUAAAGUUGUUGCAGUUAAAAAGCUCGUAGUUGAAACUUGGGCCUGGCUGGCGGGUCCGCCUCACCGCGUGCACUCGUCCGGCCGGGCCUUCCUUCUGAAGAACCUCAUGCCCUUCACUGGGCGUGCUGGGGAAUCAGGACUUUUACUUUGAAAAAAUUAGAGUGUUCAAAGCAGGCCUUUGCUCGAAUACGUUAGCAUGGAAUAAUAAAAUAGGGCGUGCGUUUCUAUUUUGUUGGUUUCUAGAGACGCCGCAAUGAUUAACAGGAACAGUCGGGGGCAUCAGUAUUCAGUUGUCAGAGGUGAAAUUCUUGGAUUUACUGAAGACUAACUACUGCGAAAGCAUUUGCCAAGGAUGUUUUCAUUAAUCAGUGAACGAAAGUUAGGGGAUCGAAGACGAUCAGAUACCGUCGUAGUCUUAACCGUAAACUAUGCCGACUAGGGAUCGGGCGAUGUUCUUUUUCUGACUCGCU